ACCAGCCGUGUGACUGGUGGGUCCUGAGAGAUGAGACGCACAAAGACAUCUUAAAAAUACUAAACAGAAAAAAAAAAGAAAAACAAAAAACUAGUCCAGGUAUGAUGGUGCCUGCCUUUAACCCCAGCACUUGGGAGGUAGAGGUGGGCAGAUCUCUUGAGAGAUCUGGUCUAUGUAGUGAGAUCCUGUCUAAAAAGGAAGUGCAGAUUCGAUCAUCAUUUUGCUCAGAAUUAUGUUUUUAAAAGGUAGCAUACUCUACUUACAAAAAUAUUGCCAUUUCAGAUAACAAAGACACGUCAUAGAAUCAAGGCGACUAACAAAAGAAUUUCAUUCUAAACUUGAUAAUCCCAGCGACUUGGGAGGCUGAGGCAGGAGCGUCGUGACUAGUAGACCUGCUUGAGCUGCAGAAUGAAUUUCAAGACCAGCCUGGGCAAUGAAAUGAGACUGUUCAAAGAGCCAGGGAUGGAGCUCAGACGUAGAGAGCUUGUUCAGGAUGUGUGUGGCCCUGGGCUCCAUCCCCGUCCCCCAACACACAUGUGCUGCUGGGCUGCUGACUUUGCGGGUCAUGGUCACAAAAGACACAUGAGGCUUCAAAGACCUUCCCUCCUCCCGUUCCCACUGAUAAUAAGAGUUUGGGUUUCCAAUAAUCACACACACACACACACACACACACACACACACACACACACACACAAAACACGGUCCAGCCAGUUGACUGUUCUGUCAGCUGAGGCCGUUGAACCUAGAUCUCUAUCCAAGCUCUGCUCUUCGAAGUCACGCUGUUGAUGUGCCUCGCAGAAAGGCCACUCAUCUUGAGGCUGCAAGCUUGGAGAAUGUGGCUUUAUCACUAAUGCUUUCGGUCUUCUCUGUGAAAGAAAAACAUGCUCUGGAGAAUUAGAAAAACAGAGGUCUGUAAGAACCAGUAUUUCUAUGUUUUUUUACCAAACACUUAGAACAGUGUUAAAUUUCAGAUUAACCUUUAAAUGCUAAAUCUAAAGCGACAUAUAACCAAAAUGUGGACGCAGUCUUUGAGCAAGGGUGGUGGGUUUUUUUUCCCCUUUCCAAAAUGUUUGUAAAGUGCUUAUAUUUUAUAAUGAAAGCAAUAAAUAUGAAUGUUGAAUUU
rnacentral:lncRNA from 1 species